rnacentral:rRNA from 1 species
CCUACGGGUGGCAGCAGUGGGGAAUAUUGGACAAUGGGCGAAAGCCUGAUCCAGCCAUGCCGCGUGUGUGAAGAAGGCCUUCGGGUUGUAAAGCACUUUCAGUGGGGAAGAAAGCCUUGGGGCUAAUACCCUCGAGGAAGGACAUCACUCACAGAAGAAGCACCGGCUAACUCCGUGCCAGCAGCCGCGGUAAUACGGAGGGUGCGAGCGUUAAUCGGAAUUACUGGGCGUAAAGCGCGCGUAGGCGGUCUGAUAAGCCGGUUGUGAAAGCCCCGGGCUCAACCUGGGAACGGCAUCCGGAACUGUCAGGCUAGAGGGCAGGAGAGGAAGGUAGAAUCCCCGGUGUAGCGGUGAAAUGCGUAGAGAUCGGGAGGAAUACCAGUGGAGAAGGCGGCCUUCUGGACUGACACUGACGCUGAGGUGCGAAAGCGUGGGUAGCAAACAGGAUUAGAUACCCUUGUAGUC